rnacentral:lncRNA from 1 species
UGGGGCGAUUUUUGGGAAUUCUGGGAUUAUUUUGGGGUGAAUUUCAGGAAUUUGGGGAUUUUUUGGGGCAUUUUGGGAUUAUUCAGAGGAAUUUUGGGGUUAUUUGGGGAGGUUUUGGGGCAUUUCAGGGCUAUUUUCGGAUAUUUUGGGGGAUAUUUUUGGGAAAUUUUGGGGUGAUUUUGGGAAAUAUUUUUGGGGUAUUUUAGGGAUAUUUUGGGAAAUAUUUUUGGGAUAUUUUGGGGAUAUUUUUGGAGUGAUUUCAGGGAUAUUUUGGGGAUAUUUUAAGGAUAUUUCAGGGAUAUUUUGGAGAAUAUUUGGGGAUAUUUUCGGGGUGAAUUGAGAUGAUUUUGGGUCUCUCACCGUGUAC